GCCUCCAUAGCUCAGUUGGUAGAGCUUCUGACUUGUAAUCAGAGGGUCGUUGGUUCGAGUCCGACUGGGGGCUCCC
rnacentral:tRNA from 1 species